rnacentral:rRNA from 1 species
GUCUACGGCCAUGCCACCCUGAACAUGCCCAGUCCCGUCUGAUCUCAGAAGCUAAGCAAGAUUGGGGCUGGUUAGUACUUGGAUGAGAGACCACCUAGGAAGACCAAGAGCUGUAGGUG